ACGUAGGGGGCAAGCGUUAUCCGGAUUUACUGGGUGUAAAGGGAGCGUAGACGGUAAAGCAAGUCUGAAGUGAAAGCCUGGGGCUCAACCCCGGGACUGCUUUGGAAACUGUUUAACUAGAGUGCUGGAGAGGUAAGCGGAAUUCCUAGUGUAGCGGUGAAAUGCGUAGAUAUUAGGAGGAACACCAGUGGCGAAGGCGGCUUACUGGACAGUAACUGACGUUGAGGCUCGAAAGCGUGGGGAGCAAACAG
rnacentral:rRNA from 1 species